rfam:Streptococcus thermophilus CNCM I-1630 Contig0435, whole genome shotgun sequence.
UAUUUAUGGUUUCGUCGCUUUAAAUUUUAAGUCAGAUGGGACUUUGUGUAUACUCAAAAGCUCCAUAACUUCUUAGCAGGUUUUACCCACUACAGAAAUUAUAGAGCC